rnacentral:rRNA from 1 species
UAGGGUUUGAUCAUGGCUCAGGAUGAACGCUGGCGGCGUGCCUAAUACAUGCAAGUCGAACGCUUUGUGGUUCAACUGAUUUGAAGAGCUUGCUCAGAUAUGACGAUGGACAUUGCAAAGAGUGGCGAACGGGUGAGUAACACGUGGGAAACCUACCUCUUAGCAGGGGAUAACAUUUGGAAACAGAUGCUAAUACCGUAUAACAAUGACAACCGCAUGGUUGUUAUUUAAAAGAUGGUUCUGCUAUCACUAAGAGAUGGUCCCGCGGUGCAUUAGCUAGUUGGUAAGGUAAUGGCUUACCAAGGCGAUGAUGCAUAGCCGAGUUGAGAGACUGAUCGGCCACAAUGGGACUGAGACACGGCCCAUACUCCUACGGGAGGCAGCAGUAGGGAAUCUUCCACAAUGGGCGAAAGCCUGAUGGAGCAACGCCGCGUGUGUGAUGAAGGGUUUCGGCUCGUAAAACACUGUUGUAAGAGAAGAAUGACAUUGAGAGUAACUGUUCAAUGUGUGACGGUAUCUUACCAGAAAGGAACGGCUAAAUACGUGCCAGCAGCCGCGGUAAUACGUAUGUUCCAAGCGUUAUCCGGAUUUAUUGGGCGUAAAGCGAGCGCAGACGGUUAUUUAAGUCUGAAGUGAAAGCCCUCAGCUCAACUGAGGAAUUGCUUUGGAAACUGGAUGACUUGAGUGCAGUAGAGGAAAGUGGAACUCCAUGUGUAGCGGUGAAAUGCGUAGAUAUAUGGAAGAACACCAGUGGCGAAGGCGGCUUUCUGGACUGUAACUGACGUUGAGGCUCGAAAGUGUGGGUAGCAAACAGGAUUAGAUACCCUGGUAGUCCACACCGUAAACGAUGAGUGCUAGGUGUUUGAGGGUUUCCGCCCUUAAGUGCCGCAGCUAACGCAUUAAGCACUCCGCCUGGGGAGUACGACCGCAAGGUUGAAACUCAAAGGAAUUGACGGGGACCCGCACAAGCGGUGGAGCAUGUGGUUUAAUUCGAAGCAACGCGAAGAACCUUACCAGGUCUUGACAUCCCUUGACAACUCCAGAGAUGGAGCGUUCCCUUCGGGGACAAGGUGACAGGUGGUGCAUGGUUGUCGUCAGCUCGUGUCGUGAGAUGUUGGGUUAAGUCCCGCAACGAGCGCAACCCUUAUUACUAGUUGCCAGCAUUCAGUUGGGCACUCUAGUGAGACUGCCGGUGACAAACCGGAGGAAGGUGGGGAUGACGUCAAAUCAUCAUGCCCCUUAUGACCUGGGCUACACACGUGCUACAAUGGCGUAUACAACGAGUUGCCAACCCGCGAGGGUGAGCUAAUCUCUUAAAGUACGUCUCAGUUCGGAUUGUAGGCUGCAACUCGCCUACAUGAAGUCGGAAUCGCUAGUAAUCGCGGAUCAGCACGCCGCGGUGAAUACGUUCCCGGGUCUUGUACACACCGCCCGUCACACCAUGAGAGUUUGUAACACCCAAAGCCGGUGGGGUAACCUUCGGGAGCCAGCCGUCUAAGGUGGGACAGAUGAUUAGGGUGAAGUCGUAACAAGGUAACC